AUACGGAGGAUCCGAGCGUUAUCCGGAUUUAUUGGGUUUAAAGGGUGCGCAGGCGGCCAUUUAAGUCAGCGGUUAAAUCGUGGGGCUCAACCCCAUUCUGCCGUUGAUACUGGGUGGCUUGAUUGCGGUCGAGGUUGGCGGAAUUCGUUGUGUAGCGGUGAAAUGCAUAGAUAUGACGAAGAACACCGAUUGCGUAGGCAGCUGACCAGAUCGCGAAUGACGCUCAUGCACGAAAGUGCGGGGAUCGAACAGGAUUAGAUACCCUGGUAGUCCGCACAGUAAACGAUGAAUACUUGUUUUCGGCGAUAUAAUGUCGGAGGCAAAGCGAAAGCGAUAAGUAUUCCACCUGGGGAGUACGCCGGCAACGGUGAAACUUAAAGGAAUUGACGGGG
rnacentral:rRNA from 1 species